rnacentral:lncRNA from 1 species
UCACCAUGGCAUAUGGAGGUUCCCAGGUUGGGGGUCCAAUUGGAUAUGCAGUUGCCGGCCUACACCACAGCCACAGCAACAUGGGAUCCGAGCUGCAUCUGAGACCUACAUCACAGUUCAUGGCAACACCGGAUCCUUAACUCCCUGAGUGAGGUCAGGGAUUGAACCCACGUCCUCAUGGUUUCUAGUCAGAUUCGUUUCCGCUGCACAACAGGAACUUCGUUUAUGAUUUAGGCUGUGGAUAUGUCAGCUCCCCGGCAAGGAUUAGGUUUGUGAGGGCUGGCCAUGGUGGCAGCUCCAGUGACAGUGGUCAGCAGUCCUCUCUUUAGGUGCUGUGAACAGGACAUGAUAUACUUUCACCUGACAAGUGCACUUUAGUCCUUUACCCUGACUCCUCCCGUGUGUGGCCUGGACUGGUGGUGUGCUUCUCCAGGUGAGAGCCCUCCCUAGCAGAGCAGGAUCUAUUUAAAAAAAAAAAAUGGAGCAUCAGGCCUUUCUAGCCUAUCUGGAAGACAGUGGGAGGAAGGAGGGCAGGCAAGGAGCUGGGGACUAGAUAGCAGGUAGACACUCAUGAUUUACAAAAGACAGGAAGCCUUGUGUGAUUUCAGACAAGUUCUCUUCCUUUAGAAUGUUGUCUGCAUUGCUAGCUGAAAAUAGUAGAAACCUUAGAAAUUGCUAGACAUAAAAAAAAAAAAAUGACUGGAGGGUUGUAAUAAGGAGGCUAUGUUUAUAUUUUUCAGGUUAUUGAUAUCAGAAGUAGUAAGAGACUACACUUAUAAUAGAUACUUAUGGUUGAAUUAGUUUAAAAGAUGACUAGAAAAACUCCACUUUUCAUUUAAAACUUUCUUUUGUUUUAGUUCUCAAUACUAAUAUUGGCUGUUGUUUUUAACUAAGGCUGAAUCUAAUUUGUCAGUCUGGAGUGUCAUUUUCAAUGUCAACUUUUAGCUGUGUGGUAUAAAAACUGUAUUUUUGUUUGAUAGUUUCUUUUAAAUUUUACUAAAAUAAUUGUUUCUCUUCUGAGGGCCUUUUUAUGAAUGUGAAGCUUAUUGAAGAUAUAUGAUCAUUCAGUAAAACCUAGCUAGUAGUUUUAGGGUAGAAACGUGUAUUUUCCCAACACAGCACCUUUUCCUUAUCAUCUAUUCUGUUAACCAAAACAAUGCCCAAGAAAGGUAAAAUGUGUAUAAUAUAUAUGUGUGUACAUAUAUGAUUUUACCUCUUAAUAAUCUACUGCAGACAAUCCGCAUUGGUUGUAAUUUGAAAAAUUAUAGAAUCUCAGAGGGUAUUAGUAAGUUGAAUAAUUCAUUACUACACAUGAAUAAAAAUAAGUAUUAAUUGAACUAAAUUAUUCAAUUGAAAAUUUGGAUACUUUGGAAAACAUAAAAGCUUUAGGAAGUUUCUGGAUACAACCUUUGCUUUGAAAAUCCUCCCGAAGUAUAGUGCGUGUUCAUGAAUUCCACUAUAUUUAUAGGCUAAAAGUAAACAUGCAUCAAUAUUAUUUUCUAGAACUCAUACCAAGACUAGUUUUGUUUGAUUAGUACUUGGAAAUAAACUGAUGAAGACUUGAUAGAGGUCUCAGGACACCCACCCUCUUCAGUAGAAAGAGCUCAUUAUUGGAAGGUGUUUGUGCUCUUUAGUUUUGCUUUUCUGCUGAAAUGUGUCUGCAGAGCAUCUAAUUUCUAGGUAAAUUUAAGGGUUAUCAGCUCAUUUUCAAUAAUUAAACAAAGUGAAAGAUCUGUUGAUUCUUUCUUAUUACCCCUGUUGUCCUUUGGCUUUAUGCCUGUGUCAACUUUAAUUUCUGAUUACAGAGCCAGUGCUUCAGUAAUUGGCUCUUAGAAAAUGAAAUAGCUACUAAAAGAUAAAACUUUUAAAACCUAUGUUUCUAAAUUUAACUGGCCAUUAUAUGCUCUUACUUUUCAGGCAUCCUGUGCUUUGCAAUUAAUUCAACAAAUAUUUUGGCUGCUUAUUUCAUGGGAGAAGUUCACCUAAGAUUCUAGAUGGGAUAUAGAAAUGAAAUGCAUAGGUGCCUUGCCACAAAUAAGCUUAUUGGUGGUGAUGAUUGGCAAUUUGGAUUUAUGCUCUGACCUAUUUUCUGUUCUGUGAGUGGUGACAGAGAGUCCAAGAUCUUAGUUUUUUGUUUUGGUAUUACUGUUUUUUUUUUUUUUAAUCUGUGCACUCAAAGAAAUUCUUUGAGAUCAGCACUAAUGAGGUUUUUUGUUUGUUUUUCUGAUUAUUUUGAUCUGUGUCUAAAGCUGUAGAACUGAAUGUAAAAGGUAGAACUGAAGUUGUAGAACUCUAUGUAUCUGUGUCUGUAAUUCAGGAAAAAUCCACUUAUCAUGUGAUUAUAAUGUAUUUUCCUACCCUUUCCAGGUAUAGUUCAUUAGAUUGUUAUGAAAUUUAUAGAUGUUUUUCCUUAAUGGUUAUAGAGGUAAAUAAAGCAGUUGUAUAGAGUCAAUAUUCCCCAAAUUCACACACCUGAAAGCUGAUCUUCUAAUACUGUGCUAGACUUAAAAUAGCCUUCAUACAGAAACUACUAAAUAAAAAUAGUUAAGACUACAAGUUCACAAAUUAAGGUGAAUAGUUGAAUACAUUAGAUUGACUUAGUAAUUUUACCUUAAGAAAACCGUUAUACAGCUUUUCUCUGAUUUUUCAGUUUUAAGCAUAGUAUAUGCAUACAUUACUCCUACAUAGUGUUUGAGAUUAUAAAAUAUUUUCAAAUAUAUUUAACAAUAAUUUAGACCAUUGAUUUUGUAAUAGUAAUUAUAUUUUGCAGAGUGGCAGCUUAAACGUGAUUUCAAGGCUUGAGAUAAUUUUAAAACUUGGAUUAAUAUUAAUUGAAUUAAUAAAUAAUAUUUUGGAUAACAAUUUUUAUGUAAGAUAGAAUAAUAAAAUAAUGCUAAAGGUAAUUUAAAUUUUUUAUAUUUUUGGUUCUUAAUGUGUGUCUCACAUCAAUGAAUGUGUUCAUUUUUUUCCACUUCUGAAAGAUAUAAUGGGGAUGAAUGCGGCUACUGAAAAUCGUGCGAUGUAUGUUUAUGAGCUUUGCUGCCCUGCUAAAACGGUGGGUAUGACAGACAGCUCUCAGUACCUGCCACCCAGUUUUCUCUAUGAGAUAGAAGUUAUAACAUUUGCUAAAAGUCAUAACUAACUUCACUAAAAGCAAUGGUGACAAAGGAACACAAGUGUGUAAGUGCUUUUGCUUCUCAAGAAAAAAAGUAAGACUAGUGUUUUCCUAAAGUAAAUUAUUAGUUAGUUCCAGUAAAGGAAGAUUUGUGAAAGAUAGUGAGUAUGGCAAGUUGUAGGGUGAUUGAGGAAAGUAAAUUUUAUUUGGCUUGCUUUAUAAUAUCUGAAUCUGAUAAGAAAUAAUGAAAUGUAUUAAAUAUUUAGCAGAGUUUGCUCAGUGUUGAUAGAGUUAUUCACAAGACAGUUUAAGGAACUAGAAGGAUCCCAUGAAAACUUCGCUGCCAAGGACUGCACUAAUACAAAACUGGAAAGUAAUUCACUCUAUUUAAAUAAUAAUUUUCUCUUAGAAUUAACCAAGAAUGAAAAGGUUUUCUUUACUUGCUGUGAGUAAUUUUCCUAUAGGUCAGAGAUUUUGUACCUCAGCAAUAAUUUUCUCAGAUUUGUGUUGACCUUAACAUGUCCUUGGUUAUUUACAAAAACAAAAUAAAACAAACAUAUGCAAAACAAAAAAAAA